GACGGAGGGUGCGAGCGUUAUUCGGAAUCAUUGGGCGUAAAGAGAGUGUAGGCGGCCGGCCAAGUCAGAUGUGAAAGCCCAGGGCUUAACCCUGGAAGUGCAUUUGAAACUGGUUGGCUUGAGUUCGGGAGAGGAAAGCGGAAUUCCGGGUGUAGAGGUGAAAUUCGUAGAUAUCCGGAGGAACACCGGUGGCGAAGGCGGCUUUCUGGACCGAAACUGACGCUGAGACUCGAAAGCGUGGGGAGCAAAC
rnacentral:rRNA from 1 species